UGAGUAAGCACUACUUACAAAAAAUCUUCGUGUCAAGUAUCACACAAACAAGUAGUCUACGUCUCAAUUCAAUGCAAAUGGUAAGCACCCUCGCCCUAGUUUUUGCUCAUUUGCUUAAAAGUAACUUUUUUAAGCUUAACCCAAACACGGACUUGGAGAAAAAGCCCUAUAAAGUUUUUGGAAAAAUGCAUCUGCUCCCUCCAGAGUCCAAAACUGACCAAAUACCCCAAACCUCAAACAGAGUCCCCACGCCUCCCCACGCCACCCAACACCGGUCCCCUGAAAGAACCCUGAAAAUAUCUCAUUCUCUCUUCUCUCUCUACAAGGGUUGUUUUGUUCAGACGAUCCAAAAGACCCCGGUCCAAUCCCAGGCAGAAUCACAGAAGAAGAGCUACAGCUAAAUGGGAGACGUUUACAGAGCCAUGAUAGUGCCCAAGGAGGAGCUGGAACUUCAAUCUCAUGCUCACGCGCUUUCACAUUCGCAUGUUAACAGGGAAUUACAUCUCGAGCUUCCAUUUCGUGUACCAAAUAUCCAAAUAUUGGAGAAGCCUUUCAGGUUCCUUUUUCAUGGUUUUCGAAAUAUUGUUUUAUUGCUUUUUGCUUUUAUCUGCUGAAAAAGGUUGUAGUACGUGAUUAUAAUUUUUUUCCUUCUUGGGUGUACUUCACCGUGUUACUGUUCAACAAGUUUUUCCUACUUUACCAAUUAUACUUCUGCAUAUCCGAGUAUUAUCAUUUUUCAUUUAUUUGCAACAAUUGCAAAGACUGGUGAUGGAAAUCUUAAGAGAGAUUCUUUGAAUACUUGCCAUAAUAUAGAUAGUUACUUUGGCAUAAAAAUAUAAUUAUUUUCGAAGUUAUUUGAUUGCAUUUUUUAAUUUCCUUUCCUUAGUUAUUAGUUUUGAUUGAUCAGUUAAUUUUCGAUUCUAUUACUUUGUAGCUUUCCUUGUCUACUAAAGGUUUUACCUACAAGUAAGUGCAGGGUUUUCACUGUAUAUAUAUAUAUAUAUAUAUAUAGAAAUUGAUAUUGAUUUUCUCCUCCUAAUUCUCAAUUUUUCCAAAUUUCU